rnacentral:misc_RNA from 1 species
GAAGGAUCAUUAUCGUACAAAAUGUGAGGGGCAUGUGAGGGCUGUCGCUGACUCAAAGUCGUGCACGCCCGAGUGUGUCCUCUCACAUAAUAAUCCAUCUCACCCUUUGUGCAUCGCCGCGUGAGCACCCUUUGGGAUCAUCUCGGAGGGGGCUCGCGUUUUCACACAAACCCCCCUUUUAAAAGUGUAGAAUGACCUCAUUUAUGCGCUAACACGCAAUCAAUACAACUUUCAACAACGGAUCUCUUGGCUCUCGCAUCGAUGAAGAACGCAGC